AGGGAAUCUUCCACAAUGGACGAAAGUCUGAUGGAGCAACGCCGCGUGAACGAUGAAGGCUUUCGGGUCGUAAAGUUCUGUUGUAAGGGAAGAACAAGUGCCGCAGGCAAUGGCGGCACCUUGACGGUACCUUGCGAGAAAGCCACGGCUAACUACGUGCCAGCAGCCGCGGUAAUACGUAGGUGGCAAGCGUUGUCCGGAAUUAUUGGGCGUAAAGCGCGCGCAGGCGGCCUCUUAAGUCUGAUGUCAAAGCCCCCGGCUCAACCGGGGAGG
rnacentral:rRNA from 1 species